CCUACGGGAGGCUGCAGUGGGGAAUAUUGGGCAAUGGGCGCAAGCCUGACCCAGCAACGCCGCGUGAAGGAAGAAGGCUUUCGGGUUGUAAACUUCUUUUCUGAGGGACGAAGACAGUGACGGUACCUCAGGAAUAAGCCACGGCUAACUACGUGCCAGCAGCCGCGGUAAUACGUAGGUGGCAAGCGUUAUCCGGAUUCAUUGGGUGUAAGGGGGGUGUAGGCGGAAAGCAAGUCAGAUGUGAAAACUCAGGGCUCAACCCUGAGCCUGCAUUUGACACUGUUUUUCUUGAGUGCUGGAGAGGCAAUCGGAAUUCCGUGUGUAGCGGUGAAAUGCGUAGAUAUACGGAGGAACACCAGUGGCGAAGGCGGAUUGCUGGACAGUAACUGACGCUGAGGCGCGAAAGCGUGGGGAGCAAACAGGAUUAGAUACCCCUGUAGUC
rnacentral:rRNA from 1 species